rnacentral:rRNA from 1 species
AACGAACGCUGGCGGCAGGCUUAACACAUGCAAGUCGAACGCCCCGCAAGGGGAGUGGCGCACGGGUGAGUAACGCGUGGAUAUCUGCCUUUUGGUUCGGAAUAACCCCGGGAAACUGGGGCUAAUACCGGAUGGUUCCUACGGGAUAAAGAUUUAUCGCCAAAAGAUGAGUCCGCGUACGAUUAGCUAGUUGGUGAGGUAAUGGCUCACCAAGGCGACGAUCGUUAGCUGGUCUGAGAGGACGAUCAGCCACACUGGGACUGAGACACGGCCCAGACUCCUACGGGAGGCAGCAGUGGGGAAUAUUGGACAAUGGGGGCAACCCUGAUCCAGCCAUGCCGCGUGAGUGAUGAAGGCCUUCGGGUUGUAAAGCUCUUUUGGCGGGGACGAUGAUGACGGGACCCGCAGAAUAAGCCCCGGCUAACUUCGU